rnacentral:rRNA from 1 species
UUAAGUUAUUAAGGGCGCACGGUGGAUGCCUUGGCACUAGAAGCCGAUGAAGGACGUUACUAACGACGAUAUGCUUUGGGGAGCUGUAAGUAAGCUUUGAUCCAGAGAUUUCCGAAUGGGGAAACCCAGCAUGAGUUAUGUCAUGUUAUCGAUAUGUGAAUACAUAGCAUAUCAGAAGGCACACCCGGAGAACUGAAACAUCUUAGUACCCGGAGGAAGAGAAAGAAAAUUCGAUUCCCUUAGUAGCGGCGAGCGAAACGGGAAGAGCCCAAACCAAAAAGCUUGCUUGUUGGGGUUGUAGGACACUCUAUACGGAGUUACAAAGGACGACAUUAGACGAAUCAUCUGGAAAGAUGAAUCAAAGAAGGUAAUAAUCCUGUAGUCGAAAAUGUUGUCUCUCUUGAGUGGAUCCUGAGUACGACGGAGCACGUGAAAUUCCGUCGGAAUCUGGGAGGACCAUCUCCUAAGGCUAAAUACUCUCUAGUGACCGAUAGUGAACCAGUACCGUGAGGGAAAGGUGAAAAGCACCCCGGAAGGAGAGUGAAAUAGAACCUGAAACCGUGUGCUUACAAGUAGUCAGAGCCCGUUAAUGGGUGAUGGCGUGCCUUUUGUAGAAUGAACCGGCGAGUUACGAUUUGAUGCAAGGUUAAGCAGUAAAUGUGGAGCCGUAGCGAAAGCGAGUCUGAAUAGGGCGUUUAGUAUUUGGUCGUAGACCCGAAACCAGGUGAUCUACCCUUGGUCAGGUUGAAGUUCAGGUAACACUGAAUGGAGGACCGAACCGACUUACGUUGAAAAGUGAGCGGAUGAACUGAGGGUAGCGGAGAAAUUCCAAUCGAACCUGGAGAUAGCUGGUUCUCUCCGAAAUAGCUUUAGGGCUAGCCUCAAGUGAUGAUUAUUGGAGGUAGAGCACUGUUUGGACGAGGGGCCCCUCUCGGGUUACCGAAUUCAGACAAACUCCGAAUGCCAAUUAAUUUAACUUGGGAGUCAGAACAUGGGUGAUAAGGUCCGUGUUCGAAAGGGAAACAGCCCAGACCACCAGCUAAGGUCCCAAAAUAUAUGUUAAGUGGAAAAGGAUGUGGCGUUGCCCAGACAACUAGGAUGUUGGCUUAGAAGCAGCCAUCAUUUAAAGAGUGCGUAAUAGCUCACUAGUCGAGUGACACUGCGCCGAAAAUGUACCGGGGCUAAACAUAUUACCGAAGCUGUGGAUUGUCCUUUGGACAAUGGUAGGAGAGCGUUCUAAGGGCGUUGAAGCAUGAUCGUAAGGACAUGUGGAGCGCUUAGAAGUGAGAAUGCCGGUGUGAGUAGCGAAAGACGGGUGAGAAUCCCGUCCACCGAUUGACUAAGGUUUCCAGAGGAAGGCUCGUCCGCUCUGGGUUAGUCGGGUCCUAAGCUGAGGCCGACAGGCGUAGGCGAUGGAUAACAGGUUGAUAUUCCUGUACCACCUAUAAUCGUUUUAAUCGAUGGGGGGACGCAGUAGGAUAGGCGAAGCGUGCGAUUGGAUUGCACGUCUAAGCAGUAAGGCUGAGUAUUAGGCAAAUCCGGUACUCGUUAAGGCUGAGCUGUGAUGGGGAGAAGACAUUGAGUCUUCGAGUCGUUGAUUUCACACUGCCGAGAAAAGCCUCUAGAUAGAAAAUAGGUGCCCGUACCGCAAACCGACACAGGUAGUCAAGAUGAGAAUUCUAAGGUGAGCGAGCGAACUCUCGUUAAGGAACUCGGCAAAAUGACCCCGUAACUUCGGGAGAAGGGGUGCUCUUUAGGGUUAACGCCCAGAAGAGCCGCAGUGAAUAGGCCCAAGCGACUGUUUAUCAAAAACACAGGUCUCUGCUAAACCGUAAGGUGAUGUAUAGGGGCUGACGCCUGCCCGGUGCUGGAAGGUUAAGAGGAGUGGUUAGCUUCUGCGAAGCUACGAAUCGAAGCCCCAGUAAACGGCGGCCGUAACUAUAACGGUCCUAAGGUAGCGAAAUUCCUUGUCGGGUAAGUUCCGACCCGCACGAAAGGCGUAACGAUUUGGGCACUGUCUCAACGAGAGACUCGGUGAAAUCAUAGUACCUGUGAAGAUGCAGGUUACCCGCGACAGGACGGAAAGACCCCGUGGAGCUUUACUGUAGCCUGAUAUUGAAAUUCGGCACAGCUUGUACAGGAUAGGUAGGAGCCUUUGAAACGUGAGCGCUAGCUUACGUGGAGGCGCUGGUGGGAUACUACCCUAGCUGUGUUGGCUUUCUAACCCGCACCACUUAUCGUGGUGGGAGACAGUGUCAGGCGGGCAGUUUGACUGGGGCGGUCGCCUCCUAAAAGGUAACGGAGGCGCUCAAAGGUUCCCUCAGAAUGGUUGGAAAUCAUUCAUAGAGUGUAAAGGCAUAAGGGAGCUUGACUGCGAGACCUACAAGUCGAGCAGGGUCGAAAGACGGACUUAGUGAUCCGGUGGUUCCGCAUGGAAGGGCCAUUGCUCAACGGAUAAAAGCUACCCCGGGGAUAACAGGCUUAUCUCCCCCAAGAGUUCACAUCGACGGGGAGGUUUGGCACCUCGAUGUCGGCUCAUC